AUUAAAUACUGUCUGGAUCUGAAAUAAAUAGAGGAAGAGAGAAUUCUUAAUCUAGUGGUAAAAUAUGUAAAUUAAGAGGAAUACCGAAUGCGAAAGCGCUCUUCUAGGUUUAUUUGACGCUGUACGAACGAAACCCUAGGUAGCAAACGGGAUUAGAUACCCCGGUAGUCUAGGGCGUAAACGAUGAAGGUUAAUGGUUC
rnacentral:rRNA from 1 species